UACGAAGGGGGCUAGCGUUGCUCGGAAUUACUGGGCGUAAAGCGCACGUAGGCGGCUUUCUAAGUCGGGGGUGAAAUCCUGGAGCUCAACUCCAGAACUGCCUCGAUACUGGAGAGCUUGAGUCCGGGAGAGGUGAGUGGAACUGCGAGUGUAGAGGUGAAAUUCGUAGAUAUUCGCAAGAACACCAGUGGCGAAAGGCGG
rnacentral:rRNA from 1 species